ensembl:lncRNA
UUGAAUGCUCAUGCAGCAUGCCCACGUGACUGCACGUUGCACGCGUACAUGACUUUCCGUUUGUGCCUUGAAUAAUGAAUAAGGCUACGUCCACACGUACCAGCGUAUUUUUGAAACCGCUGAUUUUUCUAUGCGUUUGCACCUUUUGUCCACACGUAAUGUAUGUCUGGCCGUACAUUGUGUUUGUAUUUCCAGGCACAUUUCACGAAGCAGAACGCAGUCUUCAGAGAUAUCCACGUGAACGCUGUGAUACGUCUGACCUUCAGUCCGAAGAAGAAACCCAGACCAGUCUUAAAAGAAAGCACAAACCAAAUCCCCUGUACACAUAUACGGACUCAGAGGAUGAGCAGCCUACAAAAAAACGAGUGAAAAUACCAGGUAAUAAAAUACUGUCUAGUGUCUGUGUACAUAUCUGUGUCUGACACGAGGAAACUUUUUUGACAAGUUGUCUGUAUUCUUAAAUACUUAAAAAAAUUAUCUUUUUCUAAACAGCCCUCAUCACUCCGCAGUCUGCCCCCCAGCCCACUGAUAGCAACCAUCAUAAUGCCCCACCCAGCUUCCGGCACCUUUCGCCACUCCGGCACAAACCGACACAGCUUUGCGAUCUCGCCAGCAUGCAGAGUCUGAUGUCUUCCCUAUAGAUGGUAUGCUUUUAAAAAAGCUUUAAAGCUGCAUCACAAUGUCAUUGUACUCUUAUCUAAAAAAAACC